rnacentral:rRNA from 1 species
GACGAACGCUGGCGGCGUGCCUAACACAUGCAAGUCGAACGGGGUGAGAUCCUUCGGGGUUUCACUUAGUGGCGAACGGGUGAGUAACGCGUGAGAAACCUGCCUUUCAGUGGGGGACAACAGUUGGAAACGACUGCUAAUACCGCAUAACGUAUUUUAGGGGCAUCCCUUGAAUACCAAAGCUUUAUGUGCUGAAAGAUGGUCUCGCGUCUGAUUAGCUAGAUGGCGGGGUAACGGCCCACCAUGGCGACGAUCAGUAGCCGGUCUGAGAGGAUGAACGGCCACAUUGGGACUGAGAUACGGCCCAGACUCCUACGGGAGGCAGCAGUGGGGAAUAUUGGGCAAUGGGGGAAACCCUGAUGCAGCGACGCCGCGUGAGCGAAGAAGUAUUUCGGUAUGUAAAGCUCUAUCAGCAGGGAAGAUAAUGACGGUACCUGACUAAGAAGCUCCGGCUAAAUACGUG